UUAUGGAAUUGCUCGAAAUGAUUUCCGAUCGGAAUGAUUUAGUUUACCUACAGUUUCUUUAAAAAACACAAUAGAAAUAUAGGAAAUAAUUUAAUUAUUUUGAUCGGAAUCCAUUUCGAAUAAUUCCAUUAUACGUUUUCUAGUUAUUAUUCGAUCAACAAGAUGGAUGAGUAACUAACACUGUUUUAACCAUCACUCCUUCAAAAUAUUGUGAAGUGUCUGAAUGUAAGCUAAGUUUAAUUUUAUAUAUAAUUUAACCAAACUGGUAAAGAAGAUAUCAUCAAGCAUAAUUAUGAGGUGAUAUGUAUGCAACUAUGUUCUCCAUUAAUUAAAAAAUGCAAGAUGACUAUGCAAUAUGUCUAACAAAAAAUACAGAAAUAGGAAAAAUAUAGAAAUAGAAAGGUUUCCUCCAAAGUUAGAUAAUAAACAAAGAAGAGUUUGUUUAAUUUUACUGGUGAUGAUUGUCUACAUGGAAUCGAUCAUAUGGUGACAGUUAU